rnacentral:rRNA from 1 species
GGGUUGUGAGGUUAAGCGACUAAGCGUACACGGUGGAUGCCCUGGCAGUCAGAGGCGAUGAAGGACGUGCUAAUCUGCGAAAAGCGUCGGUAAGGUGAUAUGAACCGUUACAGCCGGCGAUGUCCGAAUGGGGAAACCCAGUGUGAUUCGUCACACUAUCGUUAACUGAAUACAUAGGUUAACGAGGCGAACCGGGGGAACUGAAACAUCUAAGUACCCCGAGGAAAAGAAAUCAACCGAGAUUCCCCCAGUAGCGGCGAGCGAACGGGGAGCAGCCCAGAGUCUGAAUCAGCUUGUGUGUUAGUGGAACGGUCUGGAAAGUCCGACGGUACAGGGUGAUAGUCCCGUACACCAAAAUGCACAGGCUGUGAACUCGAAGAGUAGGGCGGGACACGUGGUAUCCUGUCUGAAUAUGGGGGGACCAUCCUCCAAGGCUAAAUACUCCUGACUGACCGAUAGUGAACCAGUACCGUGAGGGAAAGGCGAAAAGAACCCCGGCGAGGGGAGUGAAAAAGAACCUGAAACCGUGUACGUACAAGCAGUGGGAGCACCUUCGGGUGUGACUGCGUACCUUUUGUAUAAUGGGUCAGCGACUUAUAUUCUGUAGCAAGGUUAACCGUAUAGGGGAGCCGCAGGGAAACCGAGUCUUAACUGGGCGUUAAGUUGCAGGGUAUAGACCCGAAACCCGGUGAUCUAGCCAUGGGCAGGUUGAAGGUUGGGUAACACUAACUGGAGGACCGAACCGACUAAUGUUGAAAAAUUAGCGGAUGACUUGUGGCUGGGGGUGAAAGGCCAAUCAAACCGGGAGAUAGCUGGUUCUCCCCGAAAGCUAUUUAGGUAGCGCCUCGUGAACUCAUCUUCGGGGGUAGAGCACUGUUUCGGCUAGGGGGUCAUCCCGACUUACCAACCCGAUGCAAACUACGAAUACCGAAGAAUGUUAUCACGGGAGACACACGGCGGGUGCUAACGUCCGUCGUGAAGAGGGAAACAACCCAGACCGCCAGCUAAGGUCCCAAAGUCAUGGUUAAGUGGGAAACGAUGUGGGAAGGCACAGACAGCCAGGAUGUUGGCUUAGAAGCAGCCAUCAUUUAAAGAAAGCGUAAUAGCUCACUGGUCGAGUCGGCCUGCGCGGAAGAUGUAACGGGGCUAAACCAUGCACCGAAGCUGCGGCAGCGACACGAUGUGUUGUUGGGUAGGGGAGCGUUCUGUAAGCCUGCGAAGGUGACCUGUGAGGGUUGCUGGAGGUAUCAGAAGUGCGAAUGCUGACAUAAGUAACGAUAAAGCGGGUGAAAAGCCCGCUCGCCGGAAGACCAAGGGUUCCUGUCCAACGUUAAUCGGGGCAGGGUGAGUCGACCCCUAAGGCGAGGCCGAAAGGCGUAGUCGAUGGGAAACAGGUUAAUAUUCCUGUACUUGGUGUUACUGCGAAGGGGGGACGGAGAAGGCUAUGUUAGCCGGGCGACGGUUGUCCCGGUUUAAGCAUGUAGGCUGGUUAUCCAGGCAAAUCCGGAUAAUCAAGGCUGAGGUGUGAUGACGAGGCACUACGGUGCUGAAGUAACAAAUGCCCUGCUUCCAGGAAAAGCCUCUAAGCAUCAGGUAACACGAAAUCGUACCCCAAACCGACACAGGUGGUCAGGUAGAGAAUACCAAGGCGCUUGAGAGAACUCGGGUGAAGGAACUAGGCAAAAUGGUGCCGUAACUUCGGGAGAAGGCACGCUGGUGUGUAGGUGAAGUCCCUGCGGAUGGAGCUGAGACCAGUCGAAGAUACCAGCUGGCUGCAACUGUUUAUUAAAAACACAGCACUGUGCAAACACGAAAGUGGACGUAUACGGUGUGACGCCUGCCCGGUGCCGGAAGGUUAAUUGAUGGGGUUAUCCGUAAGGAGAAGCUCUUGAUCGAAGCCCCGGUAAACGGCGGCCGUAACUAUAACGGUCCUAAGGUAGCGAAAUUCCUUGUCGGGUAAGUUCCGACCUGCACGAAUGGCGUAAUGAUGGCCAGGCUGUCUCCACCCGAGACUCAGUGAAAUUGAACUCGCUGUGAAGAUGCAGUGUACCCGCGGCAAGACGGAAAGACCCCGUGAACCUUUACUAUAGCUUGACACUGAACAUUGAGCCUUGAUGUGUAGGAUAGGUGGGAGGCUUUGAAGCGUGGACGCCAGUCUGCGUGGAGCCAACCUUGAAAUACCACCCUUUAAUGUUUGAUGUUCUAACGUUGGCCCCUUAUCGGGGUUGCGGACAGUGUCUGGUGGGUAGUUUGACUGGGGCGGUCUCCUCCCAAAGCGUAACGGAGGAGCACGAAGGUUAGCUAAUCCUGGUCGGACAUCAGGAGGUUAGUGCAAUGGCAUAAGCUAGCUUGACUGCGAGCGUGACGGCGCGAGCAGGUGCGAAAGCAGGUCAUAGUGAUCCGGUGGUUCUGAAUGGAAGGGCCAUCGCUCAACGGAUAAAAGGUACUCCGGGGAUAACAGGCUGAUACCGCCCAAGAGUUCAUAUCGACGGCGGUGUUUGGCACCUCGAUGUCGGCUCAUCACAUCCUGGGGCUGAAGUAGGUCCCAAGGGUAUGGCUGUUCGCCAUUUAAAGUGGUACGCGAGCUGGGUUUAGAACGUCGUGAGACAGUUCGGUCCCUAUCUGCCGUGGGCGCUGGAGAAUUGAGGGGGGCUGCUCCUAGUACGAGAGGACCGGAGUGGACGCAUCACUGGUGUUCGGGUUGUCAUGCCAAUGGCACUGCCCGGUAGCUAAAUGCGGAAGAGAUAAGUGCUGAAAGCAUCUAAGCACGAAACUUGCCCCGAGAUGAGUUCUCCCUGAGACUUUAAGUCUCCUGAAGGAACGUUGAAGACGACGACGUUGAUAGGCCGGGUGUGUAAGCGCAGCGAUGCGUUGAGCUAACCGGUACUAAUGAACCGUGAGGCUUAACCUUACWACGCCGAAG